GACAGAGGAUGCAAGCGUUAUCCGGAAUGAUUGGGCGUAAAGCGUCUGUAGGUGGCUUUUCAAGUCCGCCGUCAAAUCCCAGGGCUCAACCCUGGACAGGCGGUGGAAACUACCAAGCUGGAGUACGGUAGGGGCAGAGGGAAUUCCCGGUGUAGCGGUGGAAUGCGUAGAGAUCGGGAAGAACAUCAGUGGCGAAGGCGGCCUGCUGGGCUGUUGCUGACGCUGAGGCGCGACAGCGUGGGGAGCAAACAGG
rnacentral:rRNA from 1 species